CCUACGGGGGGCAGCAGUCGAGAAUCAUUCACAAUGGGGGAAACCCUGAUGGUGCGACGCCGCGUGGGGGAAUGAAGGUCUUCGGAUUGUAAACCCCUGUCAUGUGGGAGCAAAUUAAAAAGAUCGUACCACAAGAGGAAGAGACGGCUAACUCUGUGCCAGCAGCCGCGGUAAUACAGAGGUCUCAAGCGUUGUUCGGAAUCACUGGGCGUAAAGCGUGCGUAGGCUGUUUCGUAAGUCGUGUGUGAAAGGCGCGGGCUCAACCCGCGGACGGCACAUGAUACUGCGAGACUAGAGUAAGGGAGGGGGAACCGGAAUGCUCGGUGUAGCAGUGAAAUGCGUAGAUAUCGAGAGGAACACUCGUGGCGAAGGCGGGUUCCUGGACAGUAACUGACGCUGAGGCACGAAGGCCAGGGGAGCGAAAGGGAUUAGAUACCCCAGUAGUC
rnacentral:rRNA from 1 species